rnacentral:rRNA from 1 species
AUUGAACGCUGGCGGCAGGCUUAACACAUGCAAGUCGAGCGGAGAUGAGGUGCUUGCACCUUAUCUUAGCGGCGGACGGGUGAGUAAUGCUUAGGAAUCUGCCUAUUAGUGGGGGACAACAUUCCGAAAGGAAUGCUAAUACCGCAUACGCCCUACGGGGGAAAGCAGGGGAUCUUCGGACCUUGCGCUAAUAGAUGAGCCUAAGUGGGAUUAGCUAGUUGGUGGGGGAAAGGCUUACCAAGGCGACGAUCUGUAGCGGGUCUGAGAGGAUGGUCCGCCACACUGGGACUGAGACACGGCCCAGACUCCUACGGGAGGCAGCAGUGGGGAAUAUUGGACAAGGGGCGGAAGCCUGAUCCAGCCAUGCCGCGUGUGUGAAGAAGGCCUUUUGGUUGUAAAGCACUUUAAGCGAGGAGGAGGCUACCUGGAUUAAUACUCUAGGAUAGUGGACGUUACUCGCAGAAUAAGCACCGGCUAACUCUGUGCCAGCCGCCGCAGUAAAAC